GUGCCAGCAGCCGCGGUAAUACGGAAGGUCCGAGCGUUAUCCGGAUUUAUUGGGUUUAAAGGGAGCGCAGGCGGAAUGUUAAGUCAGCUGUGAAAUCCCGUCGCUCAACGGCGGAACUGCAGUUGAUACUGGCUUUCUUGAGUGCACAUAAGGAUGGUGGAAUUCGUGGUGUAGCGGUGAAAUGCUUAGAUAUCACGAAGAACUCCGAUUGCGAAGGCAGCCAUCUGGGGUGCAACUGACGCUGAGGCUCGAAAGUGCGGGUAUCAAACAGGAUUAGAUACCCUGGUAGUCCGCACAGUAAACGAUUGAAUACUCGCUGUCGGCGAUACACUGUCGGCGGCCAAGCGAAAGCAUUAAGUAUUCCACCUGGGGAGUACGCCGGCAACGGUGAAACUCAAAGGAAUUGACGGGGGCCCGCACAAGCGGAGGAACAUGUGGUUUAAUUCGAUGAUACGCGAGGAACCUUACCCGGGCUUGAACUGCACCCGACGGACAGAGAGAAUUUGUCUUCCGCAAGGCGGGUGUGGAGGUGCUGCAUGGUUGUCGUCAGCUCGUGCCGUGAGGUGUCGGCUUAAGUGCCAUAACGAGCGCAACCCUUCUCUUCAGUUGCCAUCAGGUAAUGCUGGGCACUCUGGAGACAACUGCCAUCGUAAGAUGCGAGGAAGGUGGGGAUGACGUCAAAUCAGCACAGCCCUUACGUCCGGGGCUACACACGUGUCACAAUGGGAGGUACAGAAGGCCGCGACCCGGCGACGGGAAGCCAAUCCCCAAAUCCUCUCAGUUCGGACUGGAGUCUGCAACCCGACUCCACGAAGCUGGAUUCGCUAGUAAUCGCGCAUCAGCCAUGGCGCGGUGAAUACGUUCCCGGGCCUUGUACACACCGCCCGU
rnacentral:rRNA from 1 species